rnacentral:rRNA from 1 species
UGGGGAAUUUUGGACAAUUGGGCGAAAGCCUGAUCCAGCAAUGCCGCGUGUGUGAAGAAGGCCUUCGGGUUGUAAAGCACUUUUGUCCGGAAAGAAAUCCUUGGCUCUAAUACAGUCGGGGGAUGACGGUACCGGAAGAAUAAGCACCGGCUAACUACGUGCCAGCAGCCGCGGUAAUACGUAGGGUGCAAGCGUUAAUCGGAAUUACCGGGCGUAAAGCGUGCGCAGGCGGUUUGCUAAGACCGAUGUGAAAUCCCCGGGCUCAACCUGGGAACUGCAUUGGUGACUGGCAGGCUAGAGUAUGGCAGAGGGGGGUAGAAUUCCACGUGUAGCAGUGAAAUGCGUAGAGAUGUGGAGGAAUACCGAUGGCGAAGGCAGCCCCCUGGGCCAAUACUGACGCUCAUGCACGAAAGCGUGGGGAGCAAACNGGGUUAGAUACCCUGGUAGUCCACGCCCUAAACGAUGUCAACUAGUUGUUGGGGAUUCAUUCCUUAGUAACGUAGCUAACGCGUGAAGUUGACCGCCUGGGGAGUAC